AAUGGGCUUCGAACGUCAAGCCCAUUAACUUAAGUUGUAUGCCAAUUUAAUGAAUAAAGAUUCAUUAAAGCCCAAAAGCCCAAAAAUCCCAAUAUGGCCGGCCAUAGUAUAUGAAUUAGGGUUUUGGUUGUUUAGGUCACUUAAAGAAUUGACUAUAUAAAUGACUUUAUAGCCAAAUAUUCAUUAAGGAUUAAAAGGGUUAAUUUUGGGGAAAAUUGGUGAGAAUUGUCUCUCCAUUUCUCUCUAAAGAGGCCAACACCUUGGAGGG
rnacentral:lncRNA from 1 species